rnacentral:rRNA from 1 species
UACGGGGGGGGCAAGCGUUGUUCGGAAUUACUGGGCGUAAAGGGUUCGUAGGUGGCCAACUAAGUCAGACGUGAAAUCCCUCAGCUUAACUGGGGAACUGCGUCUGAGACUGGAUGGCUUGAGUGCAGGAGAGGAACGCGGAAUUCCAGGUGUAGCGGUGAAAUGCGUAGAUAUCUGGAGGAACACCGGUGGCGAAGGCGGUGAUCUGGGCCGAAACUGACGCUGAGGAGCGAAAGCAUGGGUAGCAAACAGG